rnacentral:rRNA from 1 species
AAUUUUGGACAAUGGGGGAAACCCUUAUCCAGCCAUCCCGCGUGUGCGAUGAAGGCCCNCGGGAUNUNAAGCCCUUUUGGCAGGGNCGAAAAGGCUCUGGUUAAUACCUGGAGCUGCUGACGGUACCUGCAGAAUAAGCACCGGCUAACUACGUGCCAGUAGCCGCGGUAAUACGUAGGGUGCAAGCGUUAAUCGGAAUUACUGGGCGUAAAGCGUGCGCAGGCGGUUUGGCAAGAAGGAUGUGAAAUCCCAGGGCUUAACCUUGGAACUGCAUUCUUAACUGCCAGGCUAGAGUAUGUCAGAGGGGGGUAGAAUUCCGCGUGUAGCAGUGAAAUGCGUAGAGAUGCGGAGGAAUACCGAUGGCGAAGGCAGCCCCCUGGGAUAAUACUGACGCUCAGACACGAAAGCGUGGGGAGCAAACA